UCCUUUGUCCUCUCAGAACCUAUAACAACAAUAUCACCAGAUCAUUUACAAUGGGUUCUCAGACCAAAACUAUUCUUCUCAUCCUCCUCCUCCUCCUCUUCAUUGAUUUAUCUGCAGCCAGAUUUUCAGGCAUCCAGGAGGGCCCUGUUCUGCCAAAUCCACCAAGUGAGCUCAUUUAUGAAGUGGAAAUGAGAAAGCUCACAGAGAUGGAGGCUAUGGUGGACUACCAAAAAGAUCCGGUGCCUAAUCCUAAACACGAACCACACCCCUGAUGACUGUUUAACCAGCACUACGUGCAGAACUUCAAUGCCGAAAUAAAAGGCCUAUAUAUUGAAAUAAAAGAUAUGUAUUAAUGUGGAGUGUUAAGUAAGGAGAGCCUCAGUGAGAGAGUGCAUAAAUUAUGGGAUGUAUUAUAGAAAAUGAAUAAUGAGAAGUUACUCUUUGUAGCUCUAUUGGGUUUU